ensembl:snRNA U6 U6 spliceosomal RNA
GUGCUUGUUUUGGCAGCACAUGUACCAAAACUGGAAUAAUGUAGAGGAAAUAGCAUGGCUUCUGCACAAGUAUGACAUGCAAAUUUGUAAAGCGUUCCAUGUUUUU